UACGUAGGGGGCAAGCGUUGUCCGGAAUUAUUGGGCGUAAAGGGCGCGUAGGCGGAUUGUUAAGUCUGGUGUGAAAACCCAGGGCUCAACCCUGGGGCUGCAUUGGAAACUGGCAAUCUUGAGUGCAGGAGAGGAAAGUGGAAUUCCACGUGUAGCGGUGAAAUGCGUAGAUAUGUGGAGGAACACCAGUGGCGAAGGCGACUUUCUGGACUGUAACUGACGCUGAGGCGCGAAAGCGUGGGGAGCAAACAGGAUUAGAUACCCCUGUAGUCC
rnacentral:rRNA from 1 species